rnacentral:rRNA from 1 species
UACGGAGGGUGCAAGCGUUAUCCGGAUUCACUGGGUUUAAAGGGUGCGUAGGUGGGCUGGUAAGUCAGUGGUGAAAUCUCCAGGCUUAACUUGGAAACUACCAUUGAUACUAUCAGUCUUGAAUACCGUGGAGGUCAGCGGAAUAUGUCAUGUAGCGGUGAAAUGCUUAGAUAUGACAUAGAACACCAAUUGCGAAGGCAGCUUACUACAGGGACAUUGACACUGAGGCACGAAAGCGUGGGGAUCAAACAGG